rnacentral:tRNA from 1 species
AGGAGCUUAGGUUAGCUAAAGACCAAGGACCUUCAAAGUCCUAAGCAAGUGUAGACACUUAACUCCUG